rnacentral:rRNA from 1 species
GCUCAGAUUGAACGCUGGCGGCAGGCCUAACACAUGCAAGUCGAGCGGUAGAGAGGUGCUUGCACCUCUUGAGAGCGGCGGACGGGUGAGUAAUGCCUAGGAAUCUGCCUGGUAGUGGGGGAUAACGCUCGGAAACGGACGCUAAUACCGCAUACGUCCUACGGGAGAAAGCAGGGGACCUUCGGGCCUUGCGCUAUCAGAUGAGCCUAGGUCGGAUUAGCUAGUUGGUGGGGUAAUGGCUCACCAAGGCGACGAUCCGUAACUGGUCUGAGAGGAUGAUCAGUCACACUGGAACUGAGACACGGUCCAGACUCCUACGGGAGGCAGCAGUGGGGAAUAUUGGACAAUGGGCGAAAGCCUGAUCCAGCCAUGCCGCGUGUGUGAAGAAGGUCUUCGGAUUGUAAAGCACUUUAAGUUGGGAGGAAGGGCAUUAACCUAAUACGUUAGUGUUUGACGUACCGAC